rnacentral:misc_RNA from 1 species
AAUUAGUCAGGGUUAGGAAUAGGUUGAAUCAGGCUAGGUUCAGAGGGAAAAAUCUGUUGUCCAAGCCUGGCAUUUUUGUGGGCCAGGCGGUUUCUUGGGCUGUGAAUGAGUCUAACUAGGACUUCGUGAAUUUGGUAUUAGGAUAGAUACAACAAUAACUAUAGCUCUAAAUGGUAAAGUGAACUGCAUAAUGUUCUUCACAAAUAACUUUUUGUAUGGCCUUGUGUACACCUUGUUUUGCUCUUUUUUCUUGGCAUUUGGGU